rnacentral:lncRNA from 1 species
UCAUAGUUUAGCUUGGGUUAUUACACUUUAUUACUUGUAAAGGCAGUUUUCUUUCUCUGAUGUAAUAACUGUCCUGAUAUGGAGAUUUCCAAGCUGUCAACCUGUAGUGUUUGGUGGCUCCUGAGAUUUUUAUGUCAGCUAGAGAAUUCACUGUUCCCUUAUUUAGAGGUUAAAAUAGCUCAUAUUCAUUUAAGGACAUUGUGUUCUCUUUAUAUCAAUGUCUGGCUAUGUAGCCCGUGCUGGCUGACUUUGAACUUGCAGUUCUAAUGCUUAUGCCUACAGAGUACAGGCCACUGCCACCAUGCUUGGUUCAUUCUCCUGGCUAUAUCUUAGAAUCAUGUUGUUAGAAACAAUUUGAUAUGGCUUAGCAGUUGAGAACACUGGCUGCUCUUGCCAAGGUCAAUUCCCAGCACUGGCAUUUUGGUCCACGACUGUCUAUAACUCUAGUUUCAGAGGACCUGACACCCUCUUCUAGCCUCUGACACCAAACACACACACACACACACACACACACACACACACACACACAUACAUAUACACACACACACACACACACACGCACACACACACAGGAGCAUAAACAUAUAUGCAGCCAAAACACCCAUACUUAUAAAAUAAGAUAAUGGCAGAAUGUUGAAGAAGUAAUUGAUCCAUGGGCUUAGUGUGAACUUUGACCUGAUUUUGACCUUGGACUGCCACCCUCAUAGUCACUGCAUCCACAGUCUAGGAAAGUUUAGACUCCACAAUCUAUAGUUUUUGUUUUUUGUUUUUCCUUCUCAUCCUUUUUCAAUGGUAGCCGUCUGAAUAGUGUUUGUGUCUCUGGUUUGUAGUAGUUUAGAUAUAGUCUGACAAGAGUUUACAUUUUGUAUUGCUCACAGUCCCUGAGAAAAUUCUUGUCCUUUAACAAUGUGUUAAAUGUAGGUAGAAAUAGUAAAUUGUUUUAAAUAAAUAUAGAUAAAGUAUUGAUUUUAGUAAAGAUAUCAAACCAUUUUCAAAGAUAAAGAAAAUUUUAUUUUUUCCCUCUGAAUCUUCAGGUUCUAGCAAACUAAUGCAACAGAAACUUAAUUUUAUAUUAAUAGAUCUUUGUUUUAGGUGCAAUUACACUAUAGAUUACUAUCUUCAAGGAUGUUUUUUUCUUAAGUGAUGGUUAUUGUCCCUUGAUUUUGAAGACUAGUCAUUAAUUCGGCAACAUUACCACCUUUUGUUUCCAUUUUGAAAAUAAUAAUGAAAUAAAAAUUUGAGUGAGCUAGAGCAGUGACUAAGUAGUUAAGAGCACUUGCUCCUCAAUCUCAGCGCCCAUGUGAUAACCCAGGCAGGAAAACAGGACGGAACAGAGUCUAAAGCCGUCUUUGGCCUUUGCACAAACAACUGGCUUCGGGUGUGCACACAUUACCCAAUCAUGCAGAAAGAUAUACACAAAUAGGACAAAUCCUAAAAAACAAACAAAAACUGAUUACAGAGAUCUCAGAUUGCUACUUAGACAAAUACCCCUUCUAGAAAGUGCUCUUUCCUGCAUGGUCAGUGUAAGAAGUUGAGGCCCCCCCGUUGAGUGUUCCUGUAAACUCAGUCCAUACUGCUGGGAAGGUAGCAGAGUAGCUGCUAUGUAAGUGGCAAUCUCCUUAACACCAUCAGUAGCUGUUGUUUAUUGCUAUCAUCAGGAGCAAUGAUGGACAGUUUUUAUGAAGGGAGUUCACACAUUUGUUCUAAAUCCAGUAAGCAAUU